rnacentral:rRNA from 1 species
GGCGCACGGGUGAGUAACGCGUAUCCAACCUGCCUUACACUCUUGGACAGCCUUCUGAAAGGGAGAUUAAUACAAGAUGUUAUCAUGAGUAAGCAUUUUCGCAUGAUUAAAGGUUUACCGGUGUAAGAUGGGGAUGCGUUCCAUUAGAUAGUAGGCGGGGUAACGGCCCACCUAGUCUUCGAUGGAUAGGGGUUCUGAGAGGAAGGUCCCCCACAUUGGAACUGAGACACGGUCCAAACUCCUACGGGAGGCAGCAGUGAGGAAUAUUGGUCAAUGGACGAGAGUCUGAACCAGCCAAGUAGCGUGAAGGAUGAAGGUUCUAUGGAUUGUAAACUUCUUUUAUACGGGAAUAAACGAAUCCACGUGUGGAUUUUUGCAUGUACCGUAUGAAUAAGGAUCGGCUAACUCCGUGCCAGCAGCCGCGGUAAUACGGAGGAUCCGAGCGUUAUCCGGAUUUAUUGGGUUUAAAGGGAGCGUAGAUGGGUUGUUAAGUCAGUUGUGAAAGUUUGCGGCUCAACCGUAAAAUUGCAAUUGAUACUGGCAGUCUUGAGUACAGUUGAGGUAGGCGGAAUUCGUGGUGUAGCGGUGAAAUGCUUAGAUAUCACGAAGAACUCCG